rnacentral:lncRNA from 1 species
CUAUGCCCUCUGGAACAUCCAUGGCUUGUCCGCAUGCUUCUGGUAUAGCCGCACUCUUGAAAGGUGCACACCCUGAUUGGAGUGCUGCUGCUAUAAGGUCUGCCUUGGUGACUACUGCAAAUCCAUUGGACAACACUGUGAAACCAAUCAGAGACAAUGGUGAUGACAAUUUGUCUUUUGCUUCACCUUUAGCCAUGGGAGCAGGCCAAAUUGAUCCAAAUCAAGCACUUGAUCCAGGUUUGAUCUACGACGCAACCCCACAGGACUACGUGAAUCUUUUGUGCACCAUGAAUUUCACUCGGAG